UGGACCUUGACCCCUUUUACCGGAGAUUCGACUUCCUCCUUCCAUUGGAAUCAAACUCUGGCCGUGAACAGAGCUUCAGCUGCAUUACGGCCGCUUAUCACUCUGCGCCACGGAGGAUCUUGGAGACAUGGUCGAAGUGUAUAAAAUCGUGCAUGGCAUGGAGAAACCGGACAGAGAAAAAAGCUGUUGUCAAACAAAUGAAGCCAAACGCUUCCUGUGACCGUUCUCCGACACUUUUUCACCGACACUUCAGGAAUACUAAGCUGCUGACUCUGACAUGGAUUCACACGCUUACCCGCAUAUUGACUCCUCUCUGGCUUAUCUGCCGAAAUGAGGGCAUGUUUGCUGAUCAACACACAUUCUCCGUUGAGCGGGCUGGAACCGUUUUCAGGAGUUUGCACUGUCAACAUAUUUUGCUCAUUCUGUUAAAAGAAAGAGGGGGUCAACUGAGGCUAACAGAGGAAACUAGAACCCGGAUUUUAGCACACUCAGCAGAAAAGACCACGCUGGGCUGAAAAAUACAUUGCCAGUUUGAUUCAGGCCUCGCUCAACCAGAGGGCUUGUUUUGGUCCUGUGUGCUGUUUUCCCUGCAGAUGGGGAAAGUGGCACCUUUCAAAAUUCUCCCCUCUGCACAACUCUGAGCCUGCCUUCAAUGGUAAAAUGUGUUGCUCCAAUGAAAGGAUAAGGAGCCUGAGGUGGGCUGUGGACCACUGGGCCUGGCUGGUUGAUUCUGGUGGGAGUUGGGAGCCCACCAACAUCUGGAGGGCCACAGAGUCCCCAUCCUUGUCUUAAGAAAAACAAAACAGGGUGCAUAUGUCAGUUACAAAUCGGGAUGGGUGCAUCUGUCUGUUUCAUCUCCCCUGAUCUCUCGUUUUCCCUCUCCUAAAUUCAGGUUUGCACAUUUCUGCAGCAACUGGCUCUAAAACAAUCCUCAUAAAAAUUUGCCAUCA